rnacentral:rRNA from 1 species
UACGGGGGGGGUAAGCGUUGUUCGGAAUUACUGGGCGUAAAGGGCUCGUAGGCGGCCAACUAAGUCAUACGUGAAAUCCCUCAGCUUAACUGGGGAACUGCGUGUGAUACUGGAUGGCUUGGAUUUGGGAGAGGGAUGCGGAAUUCCAGGUGUAGCGGUGAAAUGCGUAGAUAUCUGGAGGAACACCGGUGGCGAAGGCGGCAUCCUGGACCAAUUCUGACACUGAGGAGCGAAAGCCAGGGGAGCAAACGGG